rnacentral:rRNA from 1 species
GUGGGGAAUAUUGGACAAUGGGGGGAACCCUGAUCCAGCCAUGCCGCGUGUGUGAAGAAGGCCUUUUGGUUGUAAAGCACUUUAAGCGAGGAGGAGGCUACCGAGAUUAAUACUCUUGGAUAGUGGACGUUACUCGCAGAAUAAGCACCGGCUAACUCUGUGCCAGCAGCCGCGGUAAUACAGAGGGUGCAAGCGUUAAUCGGAUUUACUGGGCGUAAAGCGUGCGUAGGUGGCCAAUUAAGUCAAAUGUGAAAUCCCCGAGCUUAACUUGGGAAUUGCAUUCGAUACUGGUUGGCUAGAGUAUGGGAGAGGAUGGUAGAAUUCCAGGUGUAGCGGUGAAAUGCGUAGAGAUCUGGAGGAAUACCGAUGGCGAAGGCAGCCAUCUGGCCUAAUACUGACACUGAGGUGCGAAAGCAUGGGGAGCAAACAGGAUUAGAUACCCGGGUAGUCC